rnacentral:rRNA from 1 species
CCUACGGGGGACUGCAGUGAGGAAUAUUGGUCAAUGGACGAGAGUCUGAACCAGCCAAGUAGCGUGAAGGAUGACUGCCCUAUGGGUUGUAAACUUCUUUUAUAUGGGAAUAAACUGUUCCACGUGUGGGCUUUUGUAUGUACCAUAUGAAUAAGGAUCGGCUAACUCCGUGCCAGCAGCCGCGGUAAUACGGAGGAUCCGAGCGUUAUCCGGAUUUAUUGGGUUUAAAGGGUGUGUAGGCGGAUUUUUAAGUCAGCGGUAAAAUGUCCGGGCUCAACCCGGGCCGGCCGUUGAAACUGGGGAGCUGGAGUGGGCGAGAAGUAGGCGGAAUGCGUGGGGUAGCGGUGAAAUGCAUAGAUAUCACGCAGAACUCCGAUUGCGAAGGCAGCAUACCGGCGCCCGACUGACGCUGAGGCACGAAAGCGUGGGGAUCGAACAGGAUUAGAUACCCGAGUAGUC